AAACCAACCGGGAUUGCCUUAGUAACGGCGAGUGAAGCGGCAAGAGCUCAAAUUUGAAAUCUGGUACCUGCGGUGCCCGAGUUGUAAUUUGUAGAGCAGCACUUUGGGACGGCCUUUGCCUAUGUUCUUUGGAACAAGACGUCAUGGAGGGUGAUAAUCCCGUGUGGCGGGGGUGGCGUUCCUAUGUGAGUGUUGUUCGACGAGUCGAGUUGUUUGGGAAUGCAGCUCUAAGUGGGUGGUAUACUCCAUCUAAAGCUAAAUAUCAGCGAGAGACCGAUAGCGAACAAGUACAGUGAUGGAAAGAUGAAAAGAACUUUGAAAAGAGAGUGAAAAAGUACGUGAAAUUGUUGAAAGGGAAGGGCAUUUGAUCAGACAUGGCAUGUACUGCCCUGUGCUCCUUGUGGGUGCGGGAAUCUCGGUGCUUGCUGGGCCAGCAUGAGUUUUGGGGCUUUGACAAAGACUAGGGAACGUGGCUUUGCACAUUGUGUGAAGUGUUAUAGCCCUUGUUAAUGGAGGCACCUGGGACUGAGGUCUGCGACAUAGUCAAGGAUGCUGGCAUAAUGGUUAAAUGCCGCCCGUC
rnacentral:rRNA from 1 species